AGUGAACGCUGGCGGUAGGCCUAACACAUGCAAGUCGAACGGCAGCACAGUAAGAGCUUGCUAUUACGGGUGGCGAGUGGCGGACGGGUGAGGAAUACAUCGGAAUCUACUUUUUCGUGGGGGAUAACGUAGGGGAACUUACGCUAAUACCGCAUACGACCUACGGGUGAAAGCAGGGGAUCUUCGGACCUUGCGCGAUUGAAUGCGCCGAUGUCGGAUUUGCUAGUUGGCGGGGUAAAGGACCACCAAGGCGACGAUCCGUAGCUGGUGUGAGAGGAUGAUCAGCCACUCUGGAACUGAGACGCGGUCCAGACUCCUACGGGAGGCAGCGGUGGGGAAUAUUGGACAAUGGGCGCAAGCCUGCUCCAGCCAUACCGCGUGGGUGAAGAAGGCCUUCGGGUUGUAAAGCCCUUUUGUUGGUGAAGAAAAGCAGCAGGUUAAUACCCCGCUGUUCUGACGGUACCCAAAGAAUAAGCACCGGCUAGCUUCGUG
rnacentral:rRNA from 1 species